rnacentral:rRNA from 1 species
UACAGAGGUCUCAAGCGUUGUUCGGAUUCAUUGGGCGUAAAGGGUGCGUAGGCGGCGCGGUAAGUCGGGUGUGAAAUCUCGGAGCUUAACUCCGAAACUGCAUUCGAUACUGCCGUGCUUGAGGACUGGAGAGGAGACUGGAAUUCCGGGUGUAGCGGUGGAAUGCGUAGAUAUCCGGAAGAACACCUGAGGCGAAGGCGGCUUGCUGGGCAUGAUCUGACGCUGAGGCGCGAAAGCGUGGGGAGCAAACAGG